rnacentral:rRNA from 1 species
GACGGAGGAUGCAAGCGUUAUCCGGAAUGAUUGGGCGUAAAGCGUCCGCAGGUGGCAAUGUAAGUCUGCUGUCAAAGCGUCUGGCUCAACCAGAUAAAGGCAGUGGAAACUACAUAGCUAGAGUAAGGUAGGGGUAGAGGGAAUUCCUGGUGUAGCGGUGAAAUGCGUAGAGAUCAGGAAGAACACCGGUGGCGAAAGCGCUCUGCUGGACUGCAACUGACACUCAGGGACGAAAGCUAGGGGAGCGAAUGGG